GUGGGGGCAGCACCCCCAGACCAGCACAGAGCAGGGUCGGUGGUGCUGCCCUUCCUUCCAGGGCUGGGCGCUUUGAUGCCUUGUACAGCGUGGAUGCUAUCCUGGGACUUCCCCCAGAAAUACAUCCCCCAAAAAUACAUCCCCCAGAAAUACAUCCCCCAAAACUCCUUUGUCCCACCCAUUCGUAUUCCUAUUCCUAUUCCUAUUCCUAUUCCUAUUCCUAUUCCUAUUCCUAUUCCAUCUCCUAUUCCUAUUCACCCUUACCGAAAGAGCAAGAGCACAUUUCCUGGAAUAACCGGACAAUGCAAGUGGGGAACAGGAAAUAAUUCUGCACCUUUGCUAUGCCACAAGACACCUCCGAGCCCAAGGUCUUCUUCGCAGGACUCGGAAGGACGGGGUCAGGUCCCCAGCAGGACCCUGCCCCAAGGCAGAGCAAGCCCUCCCGGUGAGCCUGCCUGAUGCUGGAAUGCAGUCCCCGGCCUGCCCGGUCCUUACAGAGCUCAGCCCUCACUCGCCUCGUCCCAGACAGUGCCAAUCAAGAGGAUUUUUGACUUCAGCCCGAGCAUGGAUGUAAUUCAUUCCCAAUGAGCUGACUCCUCACCGCAUACAUGUAUCAUCCAGGCUCAAAUCAAAGCAAGGGCAGGGCAGCGGCUGGCCAGUCAGUCUCUGGGGGGCUACUGUGUUAUUUUGAAGAUAAAUCAGCCUAUUUGUCCUUUCCCUCUUUGACCUAACGUUAGUUGCUCUCCCCACUCCUCCCCAUCUCUCCCUAUCCCUGUCAUUACUGCCUCAAACGUCCAAGAGGGGAUUUCUCCUGCCCUGGAGAACACAGACAGAUGUCUUCUCGUGGCUAAACGUCAGCCUCCUGCCCGGUCCCUGAUGCUGCUCACAGGGCCUGGAGCCAGCAACAUCAAGGAUUUACCCCACACUUUCCUGAGCCCGGCCGUUUGCUGAGCCCCUGCCAGCAGCAGCCCUGGUUUCCCUCACAGGUUUGGGGUUAUUUGGGAGGGGUGCCCCAUGCCACGAUGCACUGACUGCCUUCAGCUGCUCUGGGCUGGG
rnacentral:lncRNA from 1 species